GAGGCGUGCGGUGCCGGUACGACCGGGGAUUCUCUUAUCCGCGGCACGGGGAGCGCCUCAAGCCCGGCCGCUGAGCGAACCGCAAAGGGAAGCCAUGGCGACCACCCCGUUCUGCCGCCCGGUCCAAUCCCACUGCGCCUCCCUCCCUCUGCACCGGCGGCUCUCCUGCCUCUUCGCCCCAGCCCGGUCCAGUCCCACCGCGCGCCCCUCCCUCUCCACUCUCGGCUCUCCCGCCCUCUCUUUCUGCCGCUCCAUCUCCGUCCGCCGACGUCUCGCCGCCGCAUCCAAGGACACCGCCAGCGACAAGGGGCAGGAACAAGAACCGUCCAUGGCGGCGGGCGAAGCUUUGAAGUCCGGAGUGGAUGAAACGGCGUCCGGAGAAAAGACCCCCGAGGAGGUGGCGGCGGAGCUGAAGGAGCUGAUGCGUGCGCGGAAGGAGGCGGAGGUCGCCGCAGGCAGCACCGGCGCCGGUGCUGGGUGGUGGGAUGGGGUGGUGCAGGAGAUGUCGGAGAUCGAGUGGCCGGCGCCCGGGAAGGUACUGGGCACCACGGGGGUCGUCCUCGGCAUCAUCGCGGGAUCCACGGCCGCGCUGCUCUCCGUGAACGCGAUCCUCGCGGAGCUCUCCGACCGCGUUUUCGCCGGUCGGGGCCUCCAAGACUUCUUCUAAGGAAUAAUCCUAAGAGUUGGUUCGAGCUACACCUCUUCUCGGAAGAUGAAUUUUAUCUGGCAGCUCGUCACAUUGGCAUUGGGCAGCAUCUCAUUCUGAUCUUCACGAGCAGUGACUUUGACAAGGAAAGUGGUGCAGUGUUCAUCGGGCAUAACAUCAGUUGUUGGCUUGAAACAAAAGAUUACACUGGUCUGCUGCUAAAUAAUUUUUAAUUAUCGGGUUGCCAGAUGUACGAUUUGAAGUAUAAGGUUGCCUCUCAAUCUUGGCUGAACUGGGUAGUGCUGGCAUGGAUCAUUCCAGAUCUUUUUAUAUGAACAUGAGAUACAUAUAUACUGAGUUCUGAAUUUUGGUGUUUGUGUUGCUAUGCUAGGUUCAGCCAGUGAUUUUCACCUGCUCUCUUUGUUGAUGGUGUCUAUUGCUACUUUGCAAACAUGUCUUGGCUACUUUAUAAAGGUAUGUGUUAAGAAUAGUUUCACCUUCUGCAGUUCUCAAGGAAACAUUUUCUCUCAGUGUCAUAUAUGCACUAGUGUAUACACUUUAGCCAGCCCAGAGUGAUACAUUUUUCUUAGAAACGCCGGGUUCCCUUGUUCAACAUUUUCUCUCAGUGUCAUAUAUGCACUAGUGCACACAUAAUUGCACAAUCACACAAUGCUUCCCUUGUUCAACUGAUUUGGAUCUCAAGUGCGUUUGAAUAUGUUUUCCAACCUACUCCCUCCGAUCCUAAAUUCUUGUCUCAAAUUUGCCCAAAUAUGAAUUUAUCUAUUCUUAAAAAGCGUCCAGAUGCAUGUAAUAUUUCGACAACAAUUUAGGAUCGGAGGGAGUAAAUUCUAAGGACUCUUUUGUUCACAUGAUUUGAAAAACACAACAAUAGAUUUCAUUAUGUACUCUCUUUUUUAAGGAUAUGGGCAUGUCCUUUUGAAUCUUGUGAGAUUGAAUGUGUUGGAGACCCUUAUAUGGGCCAAGCCAUGAAUCCUAUGGCAAAGAUCUAAGUCAAAAAUGAGGCUUUGACCAUUCAACAUGCCAACAAGGAUGGUCAAGCAACCCAAGCUAGUCAACAAGUCAAGAGAAAGACUCAUAUGGGAGAAAAGGACCCAACCUCGACAUAAAGGAGUCAAUCGUGAAAAAAAGGGUCCCAAAGUAAUUUAGGCUGUGUUUGGUUCCUGGAAUGCAGUGGAAUGUAAUAGAACCGUUCCUCGUUUUAGCAUGAUCUCAGCGUUUGGUUUCUAGAAUUGACAAAAGUAGAAUGGAACCAAGUGGUUCCUCAGAGGGGAAUAUACCUCUCAGAUCCGGAACCAACCCAUAACUCAAAAACGAAGGAAUGACUUCGUUCCGAUUGGAACGAGUGGGCCCGCCGCGAGAAAUCACACCCCCCCCCCAACCCCCGAUCCCCGACCCUCUCUCAUUGCUCUAUCCUCACCCCCUCGUCCCGAUAUUUCUCUCCCUCCGCUCGGUUCCUCUCCAUGGCGGCGGCAGUUCCCAACCAGAUCACGUCCAUCCCCCCGAAAUCCUGGCCGGUCGUCAGUAGAUCUGGGACGGCGGUGGGGAGAGGAGGUCGUUGGUAGGGGGAGGGAGGAGACCGGCGAGGGGAUUCGGUAGAGGAGUAGUUCGACGGGGAGAAGAGGAGACCGGCGGUUGGAUUAGGCGGAGGAGCACGUCAGCGGGGAGAAGAGGAGACCGGCGGCUGGAUUAGGCGGAGGAGCAUGUCAGCGGGGAGAAGAGGAGACCGGUGGUGAAAACAAGGAGAAAUUGCUCACCCCACCUGUCCAAUUUGUGUGCUCAGCAUGGUCACCAUGGCCGGUUAUGGCUUAUUAUUUUCGCUAUGCACUCUGAUUUAAUUUUUGCUAUGCACUCUGAUUAAUUGGUACAAAACAGGGAGAAAUUGUUGCAUAUGGAUGCAUUGUUAUAUUUUGAUAGCCAUGUGUGCAUAUGUGAUGUAUUUUGGACUUGUAAUGUGAUCGAUUGAAUGGACCCUAUAUGUGAUGUAUGGAUCUGAUGCUUCAUCAAGUACUAUGCUUUAUCAGUA